rnacentral:rRNA from 1 species
GGCGUGAUGACGAGGCACCACGGUGCUGAAGCAACAAAUGCCCUGCUUCCAGGAAAAGCCUCUAAGCCUCAGGUAACAUCAAAUCGUACCCCAAACCGACACAGGUGGUCAGGUAGAGAAUACCAAGGCGCUUGAGAGAACUCGGGUGAAGGAACUAGGCAAAAUGGUGCCGUAACUUCGGGAGAAGGCACGCUGACACGUAGGUGAAGUGGUUUACCCAUGGAGCUGAAGUCAGUCGAAGAUACCAGCUGGCUGCAACUGUUUAUUAAAAACACAGCACUGUGCAAACACGAAAGUGGACGUAUACGGUGUGACGCCUGCCCGGUGCCGGAAGGUUAAUUGAUGGGGUCAGCGCAAGCGAAGCUCCUGAUCGAAGCCCCGGUAAACGGCGGCCGUAACUAUAACGGUCCUAAGGUAGCGAAAUUCCUUGUCGGGUAAGUUCCGACCUGCACGAAUGGCGUAAUGAUGGCCAGGCUGUCUCCACCCGGGACUCAGUGAAAUUGAACUCGCUGUGAAGAUGCAGUGUACCCGCGGCAAGACGGAAAGACCCCGUGAACCUUUACUAUAGCUUGACACUGAACACUGGUCCUUGAUGUGCAGGAUAGGUGGGAGGCUUUGAAGUGUGGACGCCAGUCUGCAUGGAGCCAUCCUUGAAAUACCACCCUUUAAUGGCUGGUGUUCUAACGUGGGCCCGUGAACCGGGUUGCGGACAGUGUCUGGUGGGUAGUUUGACUGGGGCGGUCUCCUCCUAAAGAGUAACGGAGGAGCACGAAGGUUGGCUAAUCCUGGUCGGACAUCAGGAGGUUAGUGCAAUGGCAUAAGCCAGCUUGACUGCGAGCGUGACGGCGCGAGCAGGUGCGAAAGCAGGUCAUAGUGAUCCGGUGGUUCUGAAUGGAAGGGCCAUCGCUCAACGGAUAAAAGGUACUCCGGGGAUAACAGGCUGAUACCGCCCAAGAGUUCAUAUCGACGGCGGUGUUUGGCACCUCGAUGUCGGCUCAUCACAUCCUGGGGCUGAAGUAGGUCCCAAGGGUAUGGCUGUUCGCCAUUUAAAGUGGUACGCGAGCUGGGUUUAGAACGUCGUGAGACAGUUCGGUCCCUAUCUGCCGUGGGCGCUGGAAGAUUGAGGGGGGCUGCUCCUAGUACGAGAGGACCGGAGUGGACGCAUCACUGGUGUUCGGGUUGUCAUGCCAAUGGCACUGCCCGGUAGCUACAUGCGGAAGAGAUAAGUGCUGAAAGCAUCUAAGCACGAAACUUGCCCCGAGAUGAAUCUUCCCUGAGCCUUUAAGGCUCCUGAAGGAACGUUGAAGACGACGACGUUGAUAGGCCGGGUGUGUAAGCGCAGCGAUGCGUUGAGCUAACCGGUACUAAUGAACCGUGAGGCUUAACCUUACA